rnacentral:rRNA from 1 species
UACAGAGGUCUCGAGCGUUAGGCGGAAUCACUGGGCUUAAAGCGUGUGUAGGCGGCUCGGUAAGUACCUUGUGAAAUCCCACAGCUUAACUGUGGAACUGCUUGGUAUACUGCCGGUCUUGAGCCAGCUAGGGGCUACCGGAACAAAUGGUGGAGCGGUGAAAUGCGUAGAUAUCAUGUGGAACGCCAAUGGUGAAAACAGGUAGCUGGGGCUGUGCUGACGCUGAGACACGAAAGCCAGGGGAGCAAACGGG